UGAGGAAACAUUUAACGGCUGAUCAUGGAGCAGGAUGAAGGUCAAAAGGAAAGUCCCUGCCAGGCUUCCGGUUAUGCUUCCAUCCAGCCUAGUCAUCCAGCCGGUCCAUGCUAUAUCGCCCCUCCUGACCCGGAGUGCUUAUGGUAUUCUACGGAGGUAGUUGAAGCAUCCCGAGCUCUCGGAGGUAAUUGACCGGGAUGAACCGACGGUCGUCUGACUUCUUCUUGAUAAGAAAAUGAUCACCACAGUGAAACAGCACACAAACUGUUGGAGAGACAUCGUUAACUGCACCUGUUUCAGAUCAUCGUAGACUUUAAAUAUCUAAAAUUAUUGUUCAAC